AACAGAUUUAAUCCUUGAUGACAAGGUAUAGCAUCAAGUUGUGCCAUACCUGCAACAUUUUAAAAUUUUUAAAUAUUUUAAAAAACAUUUUAACUCUUCCAGGAUAAGAGCUAACUUGUGCUUGUCUGUGCAGGUAUCACUUUGAGGAAAACAUGAAAGAGAGUUCUUUUGAAUUACAGUCAAACUGCCCUGAAGUCAUGGGUUUCAUCUCUGACUUGAGCUUCCUUUAUGAGCAGCAUAGGCAUCUCAAAACACCUGUCCUUAUCUAUCACUCAGCUGAUCAAAAGGUCUCAAGGGGAAAAUGAAACACAUUGUUUUGAACAUGUCUGUCUGCAAAUUUGUUGUUGGAUAUGUUACGUAUGUGAUGAUGCUAUACUGAAUUACAUCAGGUUUCUUCCCCUUGUCUAUAUACGUCAUUACAAAUUUGUGUCCAUACCUCAUGGGAGAGUGCAUGGGAACGGUUAGGUCACAGCCUGAACCAGUGAUGGAGCACCUGGUGAAGGGGUGUAGCCAGCCCUGGGAGCACAGAUGGAAGCAAUUCACCUGUGUGAGAGGAAGGUGCUGACGCUGGGUCUACACCUCCCUAACCUUGUGGAAGGACUGGGAGCCACAGGGAAGCAUCUCUACUCAGAGAUUGUCUCCUUUGGAGUGUUUGCUGAGCUCUGACCUUUAGAAAGGGGACUUGGACUGCUGGUGUGGCUUCACCUUCUGUUGCAGAGGAGUAGAUGACUCUCUGGGUGUAAGCACCUCUUCAGCUGCAUCUUCUGGUGAUGGAGCAGUGCAAAGGAAGCACAGCCCAAUGGCUCGUUGAGGGCAAGCUGGGGGACACGAUAGGUAAUCACAAAAUGAGCUUCCCUACACUGUGCUCUGUCUGUGUCUGCUGUGGUAGGAAGACCAUUACUGGCACAUCUGUACCUUUGCUCCUCACUGGUCCCUCUGGAGUUUGCUCCCUCUGUUCCUCUGUCUUGUGUGAAACCCCAGGAUCAACUGUCUUAUGUCUCUAAGGUUCAAAACUUAAAAAAACGUGGCUCUUUAGAAGCUCUGGGUGGUUCAGCAUCUAAGGCUUUCCACCUGGGACUGAUAGGAGGCAGCAAACAGAAUGACUCACAGUUCACCAGCCUCUGUUUUCUGCGGAAUCUAAAUCAAGUAAAAUACAGCAGUGGCUUCCUGUUUAGCUGGUACUCAGAGAGGAAGAAUUGCGUCCAUUACUCUUGCAGGGCUUAAAGGAACAAUUUACAGUUGAAAGUUUUCAUGUGAAAUCUACAGCCUAUCUGAAGUCUUGAUGAAGUCUUGUGCUCACACUCUUCCACUUGUUUUCUGUUCUUUCCAGACACCAUAACAGCAUAGUUCUCCAGGAAAGAACUCACCUUUACAGUCACACAGGUCUUUUAUUUAUUGCUUCAGUCCUUGGAAACUGCUCUGCAAUUGUCUUUUGGACCAAAAUGUUAAAAGAAUGAUUUUAUUUUCAGAAAAAAAGAACAUAUUAUUUGUCCAAACAAGAAAAAAAUAAUUCAAAGACCUCAUUGUCCCUAACUUUGUUUCUCAUUUAGUUUGGUUUUAUUUUGCUUCUGCCUGAAUGUUUUUUGUUUAAUUCAUGGAUGUUUAUCAUUCAGCGUAUUUUAAAGUCUCUACUAAAGUUUUUUCCAUCAGAUAGGCAGAAAGGUGUUUACAUCAUGGACAUCCAGUGCUGCUUCUGGCCUUGGCACAGGACACAUUAUGGGGACAGGGAAGGCUCUUCAAGACUCCAAAUCUCUGUUCAUCUGUCCCUGUGAAGAGCAGAGUAAAAUCUGGAUUUCCAGUGGGUAAUUUACAGCAGAAAUACAAUCUUAACUUGUUCAUCUCAGCCUUUGGUAUUUAGUUAUGAAUCAAAAAUUUCUUAUUGAAAUGUAUCUGUUUUUGUUUUUGUUUUUUUAAUGCAAAGUAAACGUGGUACUCUUGAAAUGUGCCGGGAAGGCUUGCCCUGUAAAGCCAAUUUCUUUGUUAAUUCUUCUAAGUUCAGUGUGAAGGAGAGGCUGUGCCCGCACUGCUGUAUGCAUGCUGCCUGCAGAGCUCUCAAAGGUUGUGCUCCCACCCAAUCCUGACCACCUUGACCCAGGAGUGCCAUCAGGGCAGCAUGAGAGCAGUCUGCUUGAUGCUACAGAGGUAGGUGUUCUUGAGGUCAGCCACUUCAUGCUGCAGAUUCAAAGAAGAGGGCUCCAAGUAACUUAAGAUGGCAUACAGCCACAUCUCACUUCCCAUAUUUUACUCUUUUUCGAAACUUAUUUGAUUCACACUUUCUUGGGCUGUGGAGGAAAAAACAGAUUUUAUUGCCACAGUUUUGCUGCAGAGACUGAGGCACUAUGCUCAGAGGCAACUUUGAUAUCCUUAGAAUUCCUUCUGCCUGGAAUCAGCUGAGGUCAGGAGGUCUUGGUGUGACUGAAUGGAUUGUUUGUGUCUGAGACACGAUAUCCUGGAUCUGCCACGCACUAUUUCCAGAGCCGGCUUCAGCAGGGGAAUGGGUCUGAGCAGGAUCACGAUCUUGAAUGCUGCAAAUGCCUCUGGGGCCAUUCUCUCUCUUACUGAGAGCUCCUUUCUGGGGUGAGCUGCCUCAUGUUGUCCCGUUUGUUGUUGCUGGUUGCUAAAUGCUUGGGUGACUCUCUCAGACCCAGACUGGAGGGCUGGUGUUGGGUGAGACAUUGGUUGAUCUUGGUCACCCCUAUUGUGAAUAAAUGAUACCUUUUUAUUGUAAGCAAAUACUUUUUUUUUCUUAUUUUAAAUAAAUAAUUAAUUUUUUAAAAGCUUCUCAUACCAGUUAGAAUAUACUGUUUGUUUUGACUCCAAAGCUGUCUUUGCUGGACAGGCUGGGAGCUAGACACAAACAUAUUUGUAAAACAAACUGUAAAGUCUACUGAGUUUGUAACAGGAGUUACAACUCGUAGGCAACUCUAGCAGAAAACCUGUUGUGAUCAGAGUUCUUCAAAACAGAACGUAGCAACAGCUUAUGAAGCAUUCUUAGAUUAGCUUCUUUCCUUUUAGGAUAAAAUGUACACCUUCUUGCUCAUCAGUAACAAAAAUGAUGGGAGUGGAGAUGAGCAUCAUGAUCAGUAGAUAUUUCACAUCGUAUCAGUGAAGAUGUCCAAUGUUGUUGCCUACAGAGCAACAGCAGGAAGAAGAGAUCAGAGCCAAACAGUAGUGCAGAUGCAUUAUUAGACAGGGAUGCUAAGUUUGUCAGUAACAGAAUGGAUGACAGUGCUCAUAGCUAUCUCUGUUCUCUGUUUGGAAUAUACUCAGCUCUUAUACUUUCAUUCCAGAAAUAAUUAGGAAAUUCUUUUUGUACAGAAACUACUACUUUAAGAUUUUUAGCCUGUGGAAUAAUUAAAUUCCAACCAAGACUACAAAUGGAAAAAAAAAAUUGACAAGCUCUCUGAGCCUCUGAAAUUAGUAUGUAACAAAUUUGAUAAUAUCAGGGGAAACUUUCACAAGCUGACCUGCAAAAGCUGGGGCCCUUAACUUCUGGGACAAAAAACCUACUCUUUAGAAUGACAGAACAUCAUCCUUUCUGCCUUCUCUUUGACCAAUGAGGAGAGAAUGGAAAUGACGUCUCUGUGGAAGCUAGGUCAGUGGUCAGGGCUCUGAUUUUAGAAGUCCUUUGCCAUUCUAAUAUGUUUACUGGAUUCCAACCCUGCUCAUUAACUAGAGGUGACUGGAGUAAGCGUGACAUGCCAGCUGUGUGGUCUUGCCUGAAGAGCUGGGAUUUCAGAAUCGUUCAGCUCCAGUUACUACUAAGAGGUGACGUGAAAAAGAUCUUGGUAUCUCUCCAGGACCUACAACAGCAUCUGGUCCUCUGUAGCAGUAGUGGCAGAAGAGCUGAUGUCUUAAGACAAGGAAACUGAAGUCAGUGUUAUUACCAGUUAUAGUUUCACUGAAAGCCAGGGGAAUGGAGUAAUUAAAAAUGUUUUCUUAUACAUUUAACUUUUAACUAAGUAACUGGAGCCUGAGAUAGCAUGUGCCUGCAUGUGCGUAUUGACUAUGGAUAGAAAAGUUGCCAAUGCUUGCAUCCCCUUGAAAUCAAUAUUGUGUCUCGCCUUGUCUUCAGUGGGAACAGAGGCCAAAAAAUGCAAAUCCCAUCUGAAAAUUACAAAAGAAACAAAGAACUGCAGUAUGUAGUAAAACCUGACAUGGCUGUGAUUCAGAAAAGCACUCAGUGCUCUCCUUCAGGAGAAGUAAAUCACGUAACAGCAAGGGACGUUCUCAGUGUUUUAAACCCUCUCAGGAAAACCAAUCACCAUUUUGAUGGUGUAGGGUUAUGUAUUCUAUAUCAUCAUGGAAUUUUUCCACCGUUGAGAGUUUUUUUUUUUC